CACACCUUUUGCCAACCAGCAAGGAGAAGCCAAACCCCAGAGCAUCAAAUUCUGCCAUAUUUUAAGAAGCUGCCGCCCUCUCCAAAUAACACCGAAGGUGUUUUUUACCAUCUGCACCUGAUGCGCUUAAGUUAUAGUAAGACAGGGUCAGUCACAAACUCCACCCUAAGACACCUCAAGAGGAAAUUGGUCAGGAUGUUCAGGAACCAAUAAAGCCCAAGAAACAGUUGGAACACCUUAGAAUGAGAAGCUGCUCCAAAAUCAACACCUUCAAGCUGAAAUUUGCAGCUGCCCACAUAGACAAGCCAAAUGCCUCCUGGAGAAAUGUUUUAUGGUCUGAUAGGAAAAAGAUUGUAGCUUUUUGGACAAAAUUUCAAGAUGUAUGCUUGAGGGACUAAAGGCGAGGCUUUCAAAUUUAAGAACACUGUACCAGCUGCCAAGCAUGGUGGUGGCAGCUUCAUGCUCUGUGACUGUUUUGCUGCCCAUGGUGUUGGUACAUUGCACAAUUUUUGGUGUCUAAAUCUAUCAAGGUGCUAAAAGGGUGUCAAAUUUCUGGUCAUUCCAUCAAGCCAAUAAACAUUUGUUACAAUAUUUUUUUAAAAUAAUUUUACACAAUACUAUAAUUUAAUUGUUUUAAACUGUUACUUGUUUUAAGAAAUCUUGUCUUUAUGGGAUAAUACACUAAUCAUUUUGUAUAAAAAAAAAAUGUCAGUGCUUUAACGAACAGUUAAUUUCUGUAGGUAUUUAGUAAAAUCAGAUGCCUGAAUACUUUGUGUUGCAUGAAUCAAUGAUGACCAGUAAAAGUAAACAAAGCAAAAGGA